ACCGGGAAGGCAUCAUAUUAUGUUUUACUGCCAUAUGAGAGUUUGAACAGAAAAAAAAUGGAAGCCAAAGAAAUCCAGCUUGGGCAGAGGGCGGUGUUCCCAAUACUGGAGGAAGUCUAUCCCGAGAUGGAAAGUAAGUAUUCGUUGUCAAUGACGGAACGACUGGAGGGGAGAUGGACUGUUGAGGUUAGAAAACGCACGGGAACCACCAAAACUGAAAAGUUUUAUUUCCAUGAGAAGGUCAAGAAAACCAUCCGUUCUAUGAACGACGUUGCAACGUUCAUCAUGUACCGCGUGAUUUACUAGGCUCUGAUUUGACAAGGCAGGUGAAUACUCUGAUCAUGAACAUAACAUGCAGCCUUCUUCCAUAUCGCAAUUCUAUGUUGAAAACUCAAUGGCUAUCAUGUUGAUCUGGGAACAAGAGAGUUAUG